AAAGGAAUUGACGGGGGCCCGCACAAGCGGUGGAGCAUGUGGUUUAAUUCGAUGCAACGCGAAGAACCUUACCUACUCUUGACAUCCAGAGAACUUAGCAGAGAUGCUUUGGUGCCUUCGGGAACUCUGAGACAGGUGCUGCAUGGCUGUCGUCAGCUCGUGUUGUGAAAUGUUGGGUUAAGUCCCGCAACGAGCGCAACCCUUAUCCUUGUUUGCCAGCGAGUAAUGUCGGGAACUCCAGGGAGACUGCCGGUGAUAAACCGGAGGAAGGUGGGGACGACGUCAAGUCAUCAUGGCCCUUACGAGUAGGGCUACACACGUGCUACAAUGGCGCAUACAGAGGGCAGCCAACUUGCGAAAGUGAGCGAAUCCCAAAAAGUGCGUCGUAGUCCGGAUUGGAGUCUGCAACUCGACUCCAUGAAGUCGGAAUCGCUAGUAAUCGUGGAUCAGAAUGCCACGGUGAAUACGUUCCCGGGCCUUGUACACACCGCCCGU
rnacentral:rRNA from 1 species